rnacentral:rRNA from 1 species
AUUGAACGCUAGCGGGAGGCUUUACACAUGCAAGUCGAACGAGUGGCGGACGGGUGAGUAAUCUAUCGGAACGUGCCCAGUAGCGGGGGAUCACUACUCGAAAUAGUGGCUAAUCCCGCAUACUAUUUGCUCGUCCCAUAUCGGAUUAGCUAGUUGGUGGGGUAAAGGCUCAACAAGGCAACGAUCCGUAGCGGGUUUGAGAGGACGACCAGCAAAACUGGGACUUAGACACGGCCCAGACUCCUACGGGAGGGAGCAGUGGGGAAUGUUGGACAAUGGGGGAAACCCUGAUAAAGCCAUCCCGCGUGUAUGAGAAGGCAGUCGGGUUGUAAAGUACUUUUGGCAGAGAAGCGGUAUCUGCAGAAUAAGCACCGGCUAACUACGUGCCAGCAGCCGCGGUAAUUC